GCCGGGCGAUGUGGCGGACGCCUGUAGUCCCAGCUACUCGGGAGGCUGAGGCAGGAGAAUGGUGUAAACCUGGGAGGCGGAGCUUGCAGUCAGCGGAGAUCCGGCCACUGCACGCCAUCCUGGCCGUCAGAGAGAGACUCCNNNNNNNNNNUAAAGGGAGUCUCGCUCUGUCACCCAGGCUGGAGCGCAGUGGCCGGAUCUCAGCUCACUGCAAGCUCCGCCUCCCAGGUUUACACCAUUCUCCUGCCUCAG
rnacentral:SRP_RNA from 1 species